rnacentral:rRNA from 1 species
GACGUAGGGCGCGAGCGUUGUCCGGAUUUAUUGGGCGUAAAGAGCUCGUAGGCGGCUUGUCGCGUCGUCCGUGAAAACUUGUGGCUUAACCACAGGCUGGCGGUCGAUACGGGCAUGACUGGAGUUCGGCAGGGGAGACUGGAAUUCCUGGUGUAGCGGUGAAAUGCGCAGAUAUCAGGAGGAACACCGGUGGCGAAGGCGGGUCUCUGGGCCGAUACUGACGCUGAGGAGCGAAAGCGUGGGGAGCGAACAGG